AAUUAGAAACGAUAGUGUCGUGUGCAGCCAUAGGCAUUAUUGUGCAAUCCGAUCACUUAGAAAUAAAAGGGUCGUGUGAAACAAAUUAACUCGUGUGCACCCCAGUACAUGAGAAACGAAAUAAAAGGCCAGACAGCGGAGUAGCAAGAAGCAGAGAUUCAGAUGCAGAUUCAGAGCCAGCGCCGGCAGUUUGGAGAUUCCGCAGCGAGACGCCAGCGGGGUCUAGUAGACCCAUAGCAGCCGGUACAGCUGAUAAAGCCUUCAACUACUAGGAGACGGUGAUAGACUCUGGUGGACAUUCAGCAACUGCAGGAUCAACGUUAUGAAGAAAUUGAACAUCCAGACGGGAAGGAAUAUGGCUUCAGCUCUAGGUGCUAUUGAUAAGCGGCGGGUAACCGAAGCAGAGACAGUUGCAGAAGCUGCUACCAAGGAGUCAAGGAUAAAGAAAAGAAUGAAGAGAAGGAGUAUGGAGGAUAAGGAAACAGGAGGACAACUGGAGCAUGCACCUGGAAUGUUCUAAACGAGCAUAGUAGGAACUGACUGUCACUGACGUCAAAAUGAGGUAAUGAAAAAUGAAGAAAGGAAUCUAUUUUAUAACUAUCCAAAUCUUUUUGGUAAACAUAUACUUAUUUUGUGUUCUUCAGUUCAAUACUUCAUAUGCUUUGUCAUCUUUGCAUAAUCACGAAUAAGCAGUUCUUAGUGCAUAUAUGAAGUUUUAAUAUAAACUGCGUUAAUUAUUAUUUACUGCUGUUACGAAUUUUGUUUGCCACUAGUAAAAAAUGUCCUGUCUAAGUUGAACUAUACUUCAGUUGGUAAAAUAUUCUCAAUUAGGAUUACAGUUUUGAAAAUACAUACCUUUUCCUUUAUAUUUUGAUGAAGUGUGGUCAGGUAUAGAGAUGGCGCAUUUUCUUCUUUUGCUCCAGUACACAACAAAUUUGUAACAAGGAAUUUUUUUCUUUUCAAAACCAAUUUUUAGAACAAUGAUGAUGUUGGAACAUGUACAAUAUCAACCCAUACUUUUUGUGCUGUUUUGUUGUUUUGUGCGUGCCCUUUUUUUUUCUAUAUGCAUUAUCUGAGACAUAAAUGAAAUCACCCACAUUUGCAAUGAUUUUAAAAUUGGUGAGACAUGGAAUGUGGGCUGUCCAUUGUAAGAAACUGCAUGAGUAUUAUGCUAUCAGUAGCUUCUUAUUUAUCAUGUUUUAUUUUAGGCUAUCAUUAUUUUUAAAUCAGAUUGUAGGACUGCUUGCAACAGGAGUCCACUUUUAAUAAGGCAGUGGCAAACAAACACUAAAUUUCCUAAUAAUGUCAAAAGUUUUCUGCUCUUACAUACUUUCUUGUAUCAUUUCUCAAAUAGUCUUAAGCUCACACAACUGUUGAAAAGUAUUUCAGCUGUGCAUGUGGGCAAAACUGGAAAUCUAAGCUUUAGCAAAAUGAAAUGAAUUUGCUGAGUGGAUAUACUGUUGUACAAGAAAAAGUAACAGUAUUUAUUAGGUGGAUGACUAUCAUGAUGAAGUUAAUUUAGAAAGUGCACUGAUCAAGGCAUUCUAUUUAAAGAGUAGUUACUAUUCAUAUGACCUCUAUACACCUCUCUCUGCUUUAUUUUUUGUCAUUAGCUCUUAAAGAAACUACUAGUUUUAAAUUCUAGAAACUGUGCCACAUAUUGUGAAAUGUUGAUUGCUUUACUCCAAACCACUGGUUCACAUAAAAUAUCCACCAGCAAGAAUUAAACAGAAUAAUUCUAAUGAACUGUGACUGGAAAAAAUUAUGGAGAAAUGAGUAUGUAAGGAAUUUACCCAUUUGAAUAACCAAAAAUUUUCUUUCUGUAAAGAGACUGCUACUGUCUUGUUAUACAGGUGCAGUAAUUUGAAAAUUAAAAAAAGAAAAUACAAAUACCACCAGUACAUCAAAUUAACAAGGGUUUCUUAAACAAAAACAUAAAUUUGGCACAGUUCAAAGUAUAUUUAGGUGGUGACAGUUUGUUCUAGAUAGAAGCCCGAAUAGAUUAGUGCGGAACAAAAUGACAGCACAGGUAUGGAGAGGUAGAGGGGAGGGGGAGGGAGAGGGAGAAGGGAGGGAGGGAGGGAGGGGGGAGGGAGGGAGAGAGAGAGAGAGAGAGAGAGAGAGAGAGAGAGAGAGAGAAAUUACAUAUGGAAAUGGCCCACAUUUAACUGAAAGCACAGAAAGCAAAGCAUUAACUUACCAUUUAACAUGACUAUACAAACAAUAUGAAAGUAUCAAGGACAGUGAACCUACAGCCUUAUAAAUAAGAUUAUUUGAUCCCAAGCCAGAGGCAAGGCUGUACCGAACUAGAAUUUAUGGCAUAUUGAUAGAAGAGAUGUUUCAAAGAUUAGGGAGAAACUGAAUGCACAAUGUACAUGAAGGACAUGAAAGGACCUACCCAGGUGUAAAUUUCACAAUUUUAGUAAAGAGCUGGAAAAAAUGGUCAUAAAUGUAAACAGCGCGACUUGAACUUGCAUAAAGAAAUGACCUAGAUGCUCCUGGAAAUGAAUAUUAAUAAUAAAAUCAAGACAACAAAUUAAUAAAAGCAUGACACAAAGGGCAAGGAAAAACAGAAAUAAAACACAAAUAAAUACAAGAGAGGACACUGAAAGAGGAAAGGAAUCACAGGAAAUGUAUGUGACAGGCUUCCCUUUCCUUGUAAUGUGGAUCAUUCUAGAUGUGUACCAGUUUGAAUGAGUUCUGUUUUAUGAUCAUAUUCACUUUCCUUUUAUGUAAGCUUUUUUAAGACAAUUUUACAUAGUUAUCCAACACCAACGCUUCAUUCAGGUAUCACUUUUCUUUCAGCACAACCACAGACUUGGAGAAGAUAAAGUACCUAACAUUUUGUAUCAUGGCUAUGGUCCAUUUUAUGCCUUGUCCAUCAAGAAGGUUUAUGCUGCCCAAAUGAUCCCUCAAAUUUCACAAUGGGCUUUCACCAUUCAGCCAACCUCAAUGACACAUUUGUCAAAUGCAUGAGUUUCCAUAUUACCUCUAUUCCUAACCAGUCAUACUCUUGCAGACCCCCAUUGCACAUUACUCUGCUACUGAUUCUUAAGCACGAGAUAAAAUCCUGUGAACUUGCUCCAUCAUUCAUGUCAUUUGAGCUCCACUCCUCAACACCAAAAUUCCUUGAUUUGUGUCUUUAUUUUUCCGAACUUAUCUUGAUUACUGUUAAGAUUAAUUGUACAUUUAUGUGAACAUAUGGUUAUCUUAAGCCUUAUUUUUAAGUAGCAUUCCAUGAACUCCUCUCUCUAACAAGACUAAUGAAUAAUUUUGUCAUUAACAUUCAAUUUAUGAAAAUUUUCUGUACCUCUUCUAUGUUUUAUGUUGCCGUUGUGUUUUGAAGACAUAAGUUUCAGUUAGGGAAUAUCUAGAUUUUAGGCUCCAUACGAAGUAGUUAGGCUAUAAUAAUUGACCUACACACGCAUUAAAAAUAACUCAAAAAAAAUUUAGAACGUUAAACAUGUUAAUGAGCUUUGUCAUGAGGAUACAAAAUCAGUGUGUGUUACGCGCAUUUUUGCAGCUCUGUUGAUCGUACAACAUUUAUAAUCCCUACAGUAAGAUUAAAUUAGUCUUGCCUCAACACUGUUCAUAAGGGGAGGAAUAUUGACCAUUCUAUUCCAAAUUUGGGUUCUGUACAUCAUCUUUGUUGAAAAGAUGCUUCCUCCAGUUCUCAGCUUUCUUCAUCAGCUAUGAAACUAUUUGGUUGAUUUGGAAAAAUGGGCAGAGACCCAAAGAAGCACUAUAAUUUUCUUUUCUUUUGCCCUUGGACUACCGUACAUUUGAGGAAGUUAAACCAACUAUCAAAUAAUGACACAAAAGCAGCUGUCAGAAGUGUGUACUGUAAGAUGUUUAACUGUUAAUGAUACUUUCACUGAAAAGUGGUACUAAUGUGUAAUAAUGUUGCACACAUCUAGGCACAAAGAAAAUUCAGGUUUGCUUGCAACUUAAUUUCCCCCAACGUGUGAUAAUGUGCAUUUAUAACAAGCGCAAAAAUGAGAAUAAUGUUCAUGAUUUCAAACUGCUAGUCUAAGAACUGAGAAUGAGUAGAGAAAUAUAAAAAAAGGUAACAAUAGUGGUUAAUGUAAUGCAGGCUGAGAUAGAGAUAGCAUUAAGCAAAGGCAAAGAACUGACUAUAAGCAUAAAUAAGCAUCACUGUCCAGUAGCAAGAAGUCUCAUGCUUAAUAAAAUUAUCAGCUUAAAACACACUUUCAACACAGAUAUUACACACUGGCAUGCAGAUUGUACAUUGCAGAGACUGGUGCUUCCAUUAAGCUUAAUCUACAGCACAGUGCAGAAAUUCAAGAACAGAUUGUUUUAAAAUACCACUUUUCACUGAAGUACCAUAAACUAAAAUUUCUGAACUGUUCUCUGGUUUGGGAUCAUUAAAUACAUUUCUGCUCAAUGUUGCACACAAGCAGUAGUUAGUGGGUUUUGCAAAAAGUCAUAUAUUAAUAUCAGCUAAUUUCUUACUGAACUAUAAGAACUCUAUUUGUGGUAUUGUUUAAGUACCUGCCUGAUGAAUGAAUUUGUGGCCGUAUUUUAAUGCCAAUAUCUGAACUCAAAAACUUCGGACUUUUUGAAUAGUAUACCUGUCACAUAUUUAAUGUAUAUUUUAGUUUACUGAAUGUGUAAUAAGCCAUAUGUUUUCUAUGGUAAUAUGUACUGAGUGAUCAUAAUGACAAGUUUAAGGGAUUAUUCAUCACCUUGUGGGACUGACAUCAGAGCACUAUGAACAACACAACGACCUAUAUUUACUGCAACAGUUUGCCCACUGUUUCUUGAACCACAAUACAAUCAGAAUCUAUGAACGUUGCCUUUUCCUCCCUCAUUAAAGUAUUGUGUUUGUGUAACUAUUAUACAGAUUCUCCCACACACUAAAUACGAAAGUCACACAAAAAACAAUUAGUGUAAAAAUGUCAGUGCAAGAUUAAUAGCCGAAAUUUUGCUAAAACAAAUUAAUUCUGUGCAUACCAAUUAACUUCAAACUGUACUUAUCAAGUAUUAUGACUGGAAGUAUUCAUACAACCAUGUGGAACAACACUACACAGGAGAGCAGAAACAGAGCAGUUCAGAUUCUAUUGUGCAUUGUUAUACAAAAACAUUUGGAUAUCUCAAACGGCUAUGAUACAAGUUUAAUUCUUCCAAUGCAUAAGGAGCAAAUGUUGAAAAACAACACAUCACAUCAAGGAUAACACACGAAAAUACUAUACAGUACAUUUAACAAAAAUAGUGCAUUAUUAACACCCACCAUGUACAAUACAACAGACCUGCCAAAUUUUGAAAUUAAAAAAAUGUUUUAAUAAGAAAAAGACACUUGAGUUUCAAAGUACUUAUCAUCACAGACAGAUUUAAAACUACAUUUCAAAAAUCUGGCAGGUCUGUUUCACUGAAUUUAAAUUACUUUUGAAAGCUUACUUAAAAUGUCAAGUUCAAUUUAUAUGGGAGUAAGUUUAAGAUUGGCUUUAUUUAAAAAAAGGUAUUAGAUUGUGGCAGGAAAAUUCAAGCAAAGAGAGGAGAAUGCAAAGAUAAACAGCAGGCAAACAACAGAACUACGAAGAGUAAAUAAGCAACACCAGAGUUAAACACAAAAUGAGAUAAAAAGCUGAACAGUUACAGCAAUGCAACAGUCAGUAUCUAAGUUCUUGCAUUACACUAAGUUGGGGACAAUUAAGCAGCAAACAGAUAUGCAGUGAAGUAAAUGCCUAGUGUAUACAACCAUUCUGUUUCCCUGUGUAAAUGUGCCUGUGCAUGUCUUCCGUGAUCAAACCAGCUAGUUUGAAGUCAAUGAAAACUUUAAGGAAGUGUAGGUUUUCCAGUUCAGUGUUUCACACGCAGGAAGUAAUAAACAUGGAUUUAUAUUGUAUUUACUGGAUAUUAAAUGAAAGGAAAUUCAUUUCAAAAAACUUCAAACUAUGGUAAUGGAAAUUUUUAUUUAGCCUCAUUUUUUACAAAUUGUACUUACAAGUAAACAGAAUCUUUCCCAUCAAAAUUUUUCUUAUUUGAUCAUAAGCACACUGUCACAGAAAAAUCAGCUGAGAGUAUGCUUGUGUUACAAGUAUUCUAUGCCUGCUCAAAAACCAGCACUAAAUGAAUGAUAAUUAUACCAAAAUGAUGACAAUCCUUUGAGACCAAAGUAUAAGAAUUAAAAAACUCUAUAAGUCAGAAAGAUCUACAAAUAAUACAAAACAUUAGUUUUUUUAAGUUGCAGGAGUGAGCAAUGCAAGCUUAACUUAAUCUUUAAUGCCUACAUAAAAUGUAACUACUGCUGCAUGCUUCCAUGUGUUUCACCUCAAAUACAACUACCAAGAAUAAAACAGUGCCAAAAAAGAGCCUGAGGGAAGUCUUGACUAGGGAUGCCACUUCACAAUAAUAUUCAGAUUAACUUGAAAAUAUAUAGAGAUACUUCUUGUACAGUGAUAUUACUGUUGUCAUGAAAACACUUGUUAUUUCAUGUGUAACUGUUCUAAUGAAAGGAAGGUCUGAUUUCCAUUCUUCCCUCUUGAACAGUACACAGGUUGCCAGUAUCAAAACUGUUUGUACAUUCCAUGCACAGCACACUAGGAAAAAUUAAAUAGCACGAACAUGGCAUGCACAAGUAGUUUUGGAGCAUGAGACAAUAAAGAGACUAUUUAACACUGCAGAAGGAGUGAACAGAACAUAGGUUUAAUAGAAAACAAACAUUAGUUCAGAGUUUUAGUUAAAAAGUUGAUUAGUUAAUAAACCUUACAACAUUUUAUUGUUAAUAAAUGCUGAAUUUGAUGUGUGAUUGUUUUAUAUCAUAGGAUUUAAUGAACACAUAAUUCAAAAAUCCAAAUAAUAAUUUUAGAGCCUAGAUUGCUGUUAUGUAAAUCUUGUACUAUAAAUGUCACAUGAGCAUGACUGAAACAUGAAUUCAGUUUUUUUAAUAUCCAUUUAAGCCAUGAAUCUGAUACCAAAUUAGAUAAUAGUUUCAUAUAUUUAAGAUGCUAUGAAGUAUAUGGCUGAUCAGUCAUGCCUCUGCAUUUUCUUGUUUCGUAGAUCUUGUUCCAUAACCAUAAUCACUUACAAUAAAAAAAAUAUUAU